rnacentral:misc_RNA from 1 species
GAUGAAGAACGUAGCGAAACGCGAUAUGUAAUGUGAAUUGCAGAAUUCAGUGAAUCAUCGAAUCUUUGAACGCACAUUGCGCCCUUUGGUAUUCCUUAGGGCAUGCCUGUUCGAGCGUCAUUUAAACCUUCAAGCUCAGCUUGGUGUUGGGUGACUGUCCGCUUCACCGCGGACUCGCCUCAAAAUUAUUGGCGGCCGGUACAUUGGCUUCGAGCGCAGCAGAAACGCGAACUCGGGCCCGUCGUAUUGGCUCCCAGAAGCUAUCUUCACAAUUUUGACCUCGGAUCAGGUAGGGAUACCCGCUGAACUUAAGCAUAUCAAUAAGCGGAGGA